rnacentral:rRNA from 1 species
UACGUAGGGUGCGAGCGUUAAUCGGAAUUACUGGGCGUAAAGCGUGCGCAGGCGGCUAUUUAAGCUUGCUGUGAAAGCCCCGGGCUUAACCUGGGAAUGGCAGUGAGGACUGGAUGGCUGGAGUGUGGCAGAGGGGGGUGGAAUUCCACGUGUAGCAGUGAAAUGCGUAGAGAUGUGGAGGAACACCGAUGGCGAAGGCAGCCCCCUGGGCUAACACUGACGCUCAGGCACGAAGGCCAGGGGAGCAAACGGG